CCUACGGGAGGCAGCAGUGGGGAAUAUUGCGCAAUGGGCGAAAGCCUGACGCAGCGACGCCGCGUGAGGGAUGAAGGUCUUCGGAUCGUAAACCUCUGUCAGCAGGGAAGAACGGUCACUGUGCUAAUCAGCAGUGAAUUGACGGUACCUGCAAGGGAAGCACCGGCUAACUCCGUGCCCGCAGCCGCGGUAAUACGGAGGGUGCGAGCGUUAAUCGGAAUUACUGGGCGUAAAGCGCGCGUAGGCGGUAUGUCAAGUCAAGGGUGAAAUCCCCGCGCUCAACGUGGGAACUGCCUUUGAAACUGGCAAACUGGAGUGUGUUAGAGGAUAGUGGAAUUCCAGGUGUAGGAGUGAAAUCCGUAGAUAUCUGGAGGAACACCAGUGGCGAAGGCGACUAUCUGGCACAUAACUGACGCUGAGGAGCGAAAGCGUGGGUAGCAAACAGGAUUAGAUACCCGGGUAGUC
rnacentral:rRNA from 1 species